rnacentral:misc_RNA from 1 species
UGGUUCUGGCAUCGAUGAAGAACGCAGCGAAAUGCGAUAAGUAAUGUGAAUUGCAGAAUUCAGUGAAUCAUCGAAUCUUUGAACGCACAUUGCGCCCCUUGGUAUUCCGGGGGGCAUGCCUGUUCGAGCGUCAUUUCAACCCUCAAGCACUGCUUGGUAUUGGGCUUUCGUCAGUAAAAUGACGGGCCUCAAAAUCAGUGGCGGCGCUGCUGGGUCCCGAACGUAGUAAUACAUUUCGUUACGGGCGUCCAGCGUGCUUCUGCCAUUAAACCCCCAACUUUCUAAGUUUGACCUCGGAUCAGGUAGGGAUACCCGCUGA